AAAAGUCAAAAGAUUCAUGGUUGUCAAAUCCUGGAAACAGUCUACAAACACAGCUGUGGGGGGUUGCCUCCUGUUCGAAGUGCACUGGAAAAAAUCCUGGCCGUUUGUCAUGGGGUCAUGUAUAAACAGCUCUCAGCCUGGAUGCUCCAUGGACUCCUCUUGGACCAGCAUGAAGAAUUCUUUAUCAAACAGGGGCCAUCUUCUGGUAAUGUCAGUGCCCAGCCAGAAGAGGACGAGGAGGAUCUGGGCAUUGGGGGACUGACAGGAAAACAACUGAGAGAACUGCAGGACUUGUCACAGAAGACGAUGUGAUUGUAUAGGAAGUGUAGGCUGAGAGGAAAAGACAGUCUGGGACAGUGCCCUGAGGAGCACCAGCAGAGAAGACAUAGAGAGAAGACCUGGAAAACAAAAAAGACCACCUCUUUCAUCGUACAACGCCUGAUUGAGGAAGAGAACAUGCUGGCACCAUCUCUGAAGCAGUUUUCCCUACGAGUGGAGAUUUUGCCAUCCUACAUUCCAGUGAGGGUUGCUGAAAAAAUCCUAUUUGUUGGAGAAUCUGUC
rnacentral:lncRNA from 1 species